UACGUAGGGUGCAAGCGUUGUCCGGAAUUAUUGGGCGUAAAGAGCGUGUAGGCGGCCCGAUUAGUCCGCUGUGAAAGUCCAGGGCUCAACCCUGGAAUGCCGGUGGAUACUGUCGGGCUAGAGUCCGGAAGGGGCGAGUGGAAUUCCUGGUGUAGCGGUGAAAUGCGCAGAUAUCAGGAGGAACACCAAUGGCGAAGGCAGCUCGCUGGGACGUGACUGACGCUGAGACGCGAAAGCGUGGGGAGCAAACAGG
rnacentral:rRNA from 3 species